AAAGCCUUAUGUUAAAAAAACAAAUAACCUUCAAAGUUAUAAAUAAAAGUAAACUCCUUUAGGCUUUA
rnacentral:tRNA from 1 species